GCCUUCGUGGUGUAGUGGUCAGCAUGCUCGACGAGUAAUCGAGAGGUCCGCGGUUCGACUCCCGGCGAAGGCG
rnacentral:tRNA from 1 species